rnacentral:lncRNA from 1 species
GGAAAUAUUUUUGUCGUUUUCAUUAUUAUUAUGGGGAAUACAUGUCAUAGUAAUAGCAAGUAUUGGGACUAGAGAUUGUAAACCGUUGCUUGCUACCAGUUGCAACAACAAGCAAUUUCAUAAGUAAGUUUUAGACAACCUCCUGAUACAUAACCUCGCAAGAUGCAGCUUUUACUGCAUGAAUUCUCGUGACAUGGGUAUGCCCUAUCAAAACAUGUAUUGCGAUUGUGACUUUGUCCUAAUUUAUCCAUUCAGAAAACCAUUCACAAAAUAAAUGUGUUAGUAAAACAUUAAUGAUCAAUGCAUGUAAAAUUCUGAUACAAAUGCAAAGAUCUUUGAAUAUUUUGACUCAAGUGGUAAAUUGUUCAUGAAUCUUUUAUCUCAAGAGAAUUGUUUAUCGGAUUAAAAUUCAUUUAUUUGCGAUUAAGAAGAUCUUGUUUAAAACAAAUAAAUAUAUUACCUGAAAUCACGGGCAACAUGACGAAAGCAAACAUCAUCAAUGAAAGUAACAUAAGACACGAAAACUUCUUGGUUGCCAUAACUUUUUGAGGAUGCAGCAACUUCUUUCAGAAUACUCUUCAAUCUCACAAACAAACAACCCUAUAGAAGAAAAAAAAACGAUUUCAAAAUAAAUGUUAGAAUUAAGAUGUUCUGGUAGUGAAAACAUUUUAACAAUUCAUACACGACUUCAACAUAUUUUAUAAGUCGAUUUACCUGUCUUUAUGAAAAUUUGCU